CCUACGGGAUGCAGCAGUGGGGAAUAUUGCACAUUGGGCGCGAGCCUGAUGCAGCCAUGCCGCGUGUGUGAAGAAGGCCUUCGGGUUGUAAAGCACUUUCAGCGGGGAGGAAGGCGUUAAGGUUAAUAACCUCAUCGAUUGACGUUACCCGCAGAAGAAGCACCGGCUAACUCCGUGCCAGCAGCCGCGGUAAUAUGGAGGGUGCAAGCGUUAAUCGGAAUUACUGGGCGUAAAGCGCACGCAGGCGGUCUGUCAAGUCGGAUGUGAAAUCCCCGGGCUCAACCUGUGAACUGCAUUCGAAACUGGCCGGCUAGAGUCUUGUAGAGGGGGGUAGAAUUCCAGGUGUAGCGGUGAAAUGCGUAGAGAUCUGGAGGAAUACCGGUGGCGAAGGCGGCCCCCUGGACAAAGACUGACGCUCAGGUGCGAAAGCGUGGGGAGCAAACAGGAUUAGAUACCCUCGUAGUC
rnacentral:rRNA from 1 species